GGUUAAGUUAGAAAGGGCGCACGGUGGAUGCCUUGGCACUAGGAGCCGAUGAAGGACGGGACGAACACCGAUAUGCUUCGGGGAGCUGUAAGCAAGCUUUGAUCCGGAGAUUUCCGAAUGGGGAAACCCACCACUCGUAAUGGAGUGGUAUCCAUAUCUGAAUACAUAGGAUAUGAGAAGGCAGACCCGGGGAACUGAAACAUCUAAGUACCCGGAGGAAGAGAAAGCAAAUGCGAUUCCCUGAGUAGCGGCGAGCGAAACGGGACCAGCCCAAACCAAGAGGCUUGCCUCUUGGGGUUGUAGGACACUCUGUACGGAGUUACAAAGGAACGAGGUAGAUGAAGAGGUCUGGAAAGGCCCGCCAUAGAAGGUAACAGCCCUGUAGUCAAAACUUCGUUCUCUCCUGAGUGGAUCCUGAGUACGGCGGAACACGUGAAAUUCCGUCGGAAUCCGGGAGGACCAUCUCCCAAGGCUAAAUACUCCCUAGUGACCGAUAGUGAACCAGUACCGUGAGGGAAAGGUGAAAAGCACCCCGGAAGGGGAGUGAAAGAGAUCCUGAAACCGUGUGCCUACAAGUAGUCAGAGCCCGUUAACGGGUGAUGGCGUGCCUUUUGUAGAAUGAACCGGCGAGUUACGAUCCCGUGCAAGGUUAAGCAGAAGAUGCGGAGCCGCAGCGAAAGCGAGUCUGAAUAGGGCGAAUUGAGUACGUGGUCGUAGACCCGAAACCAGGUGAUCUACCCAUGUCCAGGGUGAAGUUCAGGUAACACUGAAUGGAGGCCCGAACCCACGCACGUUGAAAAGUGCGGGGAUGAGGUGUGGGUAGGGGUGAAAUGCCAAUCGAACCUGGAGAUAGCUGGUUCUCUCCGAAAUAGCUUUAGGGCUAGCCUCAAGGUAAGAGUCUCGGAGGUAGAGCACUGAUUGGACUAGGGGCCCCUACCGGGUUACCGAAUUCAGUCAAACUCCGAAUGCCGAUGACUUAUCCUUGGGAGUCAGACUGCGAGUGAUAAGAUCCGUAGUCGAAAGGGAAACAGCCCAGACCGCCAGCUAAGGUCCCAAAGUAUACGUUAAGUGGAAAAGGAUGUGGAGUUGCUUAGACAACCAGGAUGUUGGCUUAGAAGCAGCCACCAUUUAAAGAGUGCGUAAUAGCUCACUGGUCGAGUGACUCUGCGCCGAAAAUGUACCGGGGCUAAACGUAUCACCGAAGCUGCGGACUGUUCUUCGAACAGUGGUAGGAGAGCGUUCUAAGGGCUGUGAAGCAAGACCGGAAGGACUUGUGGAGCGCUUAGAAGUGAGAAUGCCGGUAUGAGUAGCGAAAGAGGGGUGAGAAUCCCCUCCACCGAAUGCCUAAGGUUUCCUGAGGAAGGCUCGUCCGCUCAGGGUUAGUCGGGACCUAAGCCGAGGCCGAAAGGCGUAGGCGAUGGAUAACAGGUUGAUAUUCCUGUACCACCUCCUCACCAUUUGAGCAAUGGGGGACGCAGGAGGAUAGGGUAAGCGCGGUAUUGGAUAUCCGCGUCCAAGCAGUUAGGCUGGGAAAUAGGCAAAUCCGUUUCCCGUGAAGGCUGAGCUGUGAUGGCGAGCGAAUUAUAGUAGCGAAGUUCCUGAUUCCACACUGCCAAGAAAAGCCUCUAGCGAGGUGAGAGGUGCCCGUACCGCAAACCGACACAGGUAGGCGAGGAGAGAAUCCUAAGGUGAUCGAGAGAACUCUCGUUAAGGAACUCGGCAAAAUGACCCCGUAACUUCGGGAGAAGGGGUGCUCUGUUAGGGUGCAAGCCCGAGAGAGCCGCAGUGAAUAGGCCCAGGCGACUGUUUAGCAAAAACACAGGUCUCUGCGAAGCCGUAAGGCGAAGUAUAGGGGCUGACGCCUGCCCGGUGCUGGAAGGUUAAGAGGAGCGCUUAGCGUAAGCGAAGGUGCGAAUUGAAGCCCCAGUAAACGGCGGCCGUAACUAUAACGGUCCUAAGGUAGCGAAAUUCCUUGUCGGGUAAGUUCCGACCCGCACGAAAGGCGCAACGAUCUGGGCACUGUCUCAACGAGAGACUCGGUGAAAUUAUAGUACCUGUGAAGAUGCAGGUUACCCGCGACAGGACGGAAAGACCCCGUGGAGCUUUACUGCAGCCUGAUAUUGAAUGUUGGUACAGCUUGUACAGGAUAGGUAGGAGCCUUGGAAACCGGAGCGCCAGCUUCGGUGGAGGCAUCGGUGGGAUACUACCCUGGCUGUAUUGACCUUCUAACCCGCCGCCCUUAUCGGGCGGGGAGACAGUGUCAGGUGGGCAGUUUGACUGGGGCGGUCGCCUCCUAAAAGGUAACGGAGGCGCCCAAAGGUUCCCUCAGAAUGGUUGGAAAUCAUUCGCAGAGUGUAAAGGCACAAGGGAGCUUGACUGCGAGACCUACAAGUCGAGCAGGGACGAAAGUCGGGCUUAGUGAUCCGGUGGUUCCGCAUGGAAGGGCCAUCGCUCAACGGAUAAAAGCUACCCCGGGGAUAACAGGCUUAUCUCCCCCAAGAGUCCACAUCGACGGGGAGGUUUGGCACCUCGAUGUCGGCUCAUCGCAUCCUGGGGCUGUAGUCGGUCCCAAGGGUUGGGCUGUUCGCCCAUUAAAGCGGUACGCGAGCUGGGUUCAGAACGUCGUGAGACAGUUCGGUCCCUAUCCGUCGCGGGCGCAGGAAAUUUGAGAGGAGCUGUCCUUAGUACGAGAGGACCGGGAUGGACGCACCGCUGGUGUACCAGUUGUUCUGCCAAGGGCAUCGCUGGGUAGCUAUGUGCGGACGGGAUAAGUGCUGAAAGCAUCUAAGCAUGAAGCCCCCCUCAAGAUGAGAUUUCCCAUUCCGCAAGGAAGUAAGAUCCCUGAAAGAUGAUCAGGUUGAUAGGUCUGAGGUGGAAGUGUGGCGACACAUGGAGCUGACAGAUACUAAUCGAUCGAGGACUUAACCAA
rnacentral:rRNA from 1 species